rnacentral:rRNA from 1 species
GGCGACCGGGUGAGUAACACGUGACUAACCUGCCCUUGAGUGGGGGAUAACCUCGGGAAACCGGGGGCGUGAAUACCGCAUAAUUUCACGAGGUGAAAUUCCUUGUGAUCAAAGGAGCAAUUCGCUGAAGGAGGGGGUCGCGGCUGAUUAGCUAGUUGGUGAGGUAACGGCCCACCAAGGCAAUGAUCAGUAGCCGGCCUGAGAGGGCGCACGGCCACACUGGGACUGAAACACGGUCCAGACUCCUACGUGGUAGGUCUAUGCAGUGGGGAAUUUUGCGCAAUGGGGGAAACCCUGACGCAGCAACGCCGCGUGGAGGAUGAAGUCCCUUGGGAUGUAAACUCCUUUCGAUCGGGACGAUUAUGACGGUACCGGAAGAAGAAGCACCGGCUAACUCUGUGCCAGCCGCCGCGG